UUGUGUUAAAUAUUAACAAAGAGCCGCCUCCACAGCAACUCACGGGGUGUCUGUUUUAAAUAUUUAAGUCAUUGCUGUUCCCGUCGCUCAGUGACUCUUUGGCUCAAACUGUUCUGUAACUGCUCUUGCCUCCCUGGUUACUGCGUUGUGUGAAAUGUCCGACAUUCCUGCUUUUCCUUUCCUCUCCCCCAAGCUCUUCGCUCUGUCUCUGUCUUUCAGUGAAGAGUGCUGGAGCACACAGCCAGCUGCCUCUCACACCUCCAGGCACACCGAGGAGCCAUUCGGUCCCAAAGGCUGUGUGAGAUGCCCGUGGCUCCUGCCCUGCUCAGAUGCUCCGGGGGACAGGUGGCCCGUCAGCAGGGCUGCCUCACACGCUUGCGCUCCGUCAACUGCGGUUUGGGCAGAGCGGGCAGCGGUCCCCUUGUCCCCGGCCACCCUGCACGGUCGCCCACUCCUGCUCUACUGCUGACGCCACCUGCGUCUGGAGGCUCCCUGGUCACCCAGGACAGGCCCGCCUUCCAGCUCGCAGUCAGGGCUGUCACUGUAGCUCAGCUGUGCACAGGCACCGCGCGUGAGAGCAGCCACGCCCCUCCACGCUCCCCCACCUGCGCAUGCGCGUGCGGUCACGCGCCCAGGGGACCGCCGAAACGCCGUCGCUGUGCACACAGUUUACCUCUAAGCCCUUCUCACUGUUCGCACUUUUCAUCCACAUCAGGGUUUGUGUGACACACGCCUGUUUUCUUCCCUGGGCUCAUUGUGAAGUUCGGAAGAGAGCAUGAAGAGCUCCGACAGCAGGACUUUGGAACAUUCUGCUUAACACCACAACCUUGCCUAGACCCGGGUGUGAAAACUGCAGUGAAUCUAGCCUCCAAUUAGCACUAUAGGAGAACCACAGGCAGGAGCCCUCGGGUGGAAGGCAGAGAAUUAUCUUUCUCCAGCUGCAGCCAGAGAUUUCUAGCCUAGGUUUGUGAGACUCCAAGACUAUGCAUAUCCUCAGAGCUAUUGAGGUAAUCUCAAAGCUAA